rnacentral:rRNA from 1 species
AGAGUUUGAUCAUGGCUCAGAUUGAACGCUGGCGGCAGGCCUAACACAUGCAAGUCGAACGGUAACAGGAAGCAGCUUGCUGCUUUGCUGACGAGUGGCGGACGGGUGAGUAAUGUCUGGGAAACUGCCUGAUGGAGGGGGAUAACUACUGGAAACGGUAGCUAAUACCGCAUAACGUCGCAAGACCAAAGAGGGGGACCUUAGGGCCUCUUGCCAUCGGAUGUGCCCAGAUGGGAUUAGCUAGUAGGUGGGGUAACGGCUCACCUAGGCGACGAUCCCUAGCUGGUCUGAGAGGAUGACCAGCCACACUGGAACUGAGACACGGUCCAGACUCCUACGGGAGGCAGCAGUGGGGAAUAUUGCACAAUGGGCGCAAGCCUGAUGCAGCCAUGCCGCGUGUAUGAAGAAGGCCUUCGGGUUGUAAAGUCUUUCAGCGGGGAGGAAGGGAGUAAAGUUAAUACCUUUGCUCAUUGACGUUACCCGCAGAAGAAGCACCGGCUAACUCCGUGCCAGCAGCCGCGGUAAUACGGGAGGGUGCAAGCGUUAAUCGGAAUUACUGGGCGUAAAGCGCACGCAGGCGGUUUGUUAAGUCAGAUGUGAAAUCCCCGGGCUCAACCUGGGAACUGCAUCUGAUACUGGCAAGCUUGAGUCUCGUAGAGGGGGGUAGGAUUCCAGGUGUAGCGGUGAAAUGCGUAGAGAUCUGGAGGAAUACCGGUGGCGAAGGCGGCCCCCUGGACUAAGACUGACGCUCAGUGCUAAAGCGUGGGGAGCAAACAGGAUUAGAUACCCUGGUAGUCCAC